CGCGGCCUAUCAGCUUGUUGGUGAGGUAACGGCUCACCAAGGCAACGACGGGUAGCUGGUCUGAGAGGACGAUCAGCCACACUGGGACUGAGACACGGCCCAGACUCCUACGGGAGGCAGCAGCAGGGAAUAUUGCACAAUGGGCGAAAGCCUGAUGCAGCGACGCCGCGUGGGGGAUGAAGGCCUUCGGGUUGUAAACCCCUUUCAGGAGGGACGAAGCGAAAGUGACGGUACCUCCAGAAGAAGCCCCGGCCAACUACGUGCCAGCAGCCGCGGUAAUACGUAGGGGGCGAGCGUUGUCCGGAUUUAUUGGGCGUAAAGAGCUCGUAGGCGGCUCAACAAGUCGGCCGUGAAAGCCCGAGGCUUAACCUCGGGACGCCGGUCGAAACUGUUGUGGCUAGGGUCCGGUAGAGGAGAGUGGAAUUCCCGGUGUAGCGGUGAAAUGCGCAGAUAUCGGGAGGAACACCAGUAGCGAAGGCGGCUCUCUGGGCCGGCACCGACGCUGAGGAGCGAAAGCUAGGGGAGCAAACAGGAUUAGAUACCCUGGUAGUCCUAGCCGUAAACGAUGGGUACUAGGUGUGGCGGAUUCAUUGACAUCUGCCGUGCCGAAGCUAACGCAUUAAGUACCCCGCCUGGGGAGUACGG
rnacentral:rRNA from 1 species